GUUAAACUGAUUUGUCCGUGAUUGCCCAAAGAUAAUUUACUGGUUUUAAGGACCCGCGUGUGUGUGUGUCGCUCUUCUUAUUCUGAGAGACGUCACUCGAGUUAUCUCAAGUGUGUGACGAUAUAUCCAACAUUUGUGUGUCAUAGGACACUAAUUGGCCUAUUCACCUCUGGGUGUUGACCCUGUGUACGAGUGAUUCUCACCUUGUGUGUAGCCUGUCUUCACAGGUAGCUAAAUUUUUACUCGCUCUCUCUCUCAUUAUGUCCCUAACCUUAUUUUAUUCCUUCUCAGGA